UCAGACGAUGCGUCAUGCAUAUCAAUAAGCGGAGGAAAAGAAACUAACAAGGAUUCCCCUAGUAACGGCGAGUGAAGCGGGAAGAGCUCAAAUUUGAAAUCUUAAAGGGUUUCCCUUUACGAAUUGUAGUUUAAAGAAGUGUUUUCUGUUGAGGUUUUGGUAAAAGUUCUUUGGAAUAGGACAUCAUAGAGGGUGAGAAUCCCGUAUUUGACCUUUACUUUCAACUUUGUGAUACACUUUCAAAGAGUCGGAUUGUUUGGGAAUGCAGUCCAAAAUGGGUGGUAAAUUUCAUCUAAAGCUAAAUAUUGGCGAGAGACCGAUAGCGAACAAGUACCGUGAGGGAAAGAUGAAAAGAACUUUGAAAAGAGAGUUAAACAGUACGUGAAAUUGUCAAAAGGGAAGCGUUUGACACCAGUGUUGUUUUUCUGAAAAUCAAUUAAAGAACUGUUUAUGCUAAGUUGUUUAGACUUUAUCAGCUAACUGUUUAGUUUUGAGCUUUUCUUUAAUGCACUUUUCAGUUAACAAGUCAACAUCAAUUUCUUUGCUGUAAAAAAGCUUGAGGAAGGUGGCUUGAGAUUCGUCUUAAGUGUUUAUAGCCUCUUGCCUAUGCAGUCGGAGAGAUUGAGGUCUGCAGCGUAGAUCCUUCGGGGCUAAAUGCAUUUGUGCUAAGUUAUAGCAUUUUAUAGACAACUUGUUGACUAUGAUUUGUCUUGUAGCUUACUCGCUUAUGUUAUUUUACCUACGCUUAGGAUGUUGAGCGCAUGUCUCUCUC
rnacentral:rRNA from 1 species